UUCCAGACUCCUACGGGAGGCAGCAGUGGGGGAUAUUGGACAAUGGGGGAAACCCUGAUCCAGCGACGCCGCGUGUGGGAAGACGGUCUUCUGGAUUGUAAACCACUGUCCCCAGGGACGAAAAUGACGGUACCUGGGGAGGAAGCUCCGGCUAACUACGUGCCAGCAGCCGCGGUAAUACGUAGGGGGCAAGCGUUAUCCGGAUUUACUGGGUGUAAAGGGAGCGUAGACGGCAGAGCAAGUCUGAAGUGAAAGCCCGCGGCCCAACUGCGGGACUGCUUUGGAAACUGCCCGGCUAGAGUGCUGGAGAGGUAAGCGGAAUUCCUAGUGUAGCGGUGAAAUGCGUAGAUAUUAGGAGGAACACCAGUGGCGAAGGCGGCUUACUGGACUGUAACUGACGUUGAGGCUCGAAAGCGUGGGGAGCAAACAGGAUUAGAUACCCUUGUAA
rnacentral:rRNA from 1 species